GGAUUUAUUGGGCGUAAAGCGAGCGCAGGUGGUUUAAUAAGUCUGAUGUAAAAGGCAGUGGCUCAACCAUUGUGUGCAUUGGAAACUGUUAGACUUGAGUGCAGUAGAGGAGAGUGGAAUUCCAUGUGUAGCGGUGAAAUGCGUAGAUAUAUGGAGGAACACCGGUGGCGAAAGCGGCUCUCUGGACUGUCACUGACACUGAGGCUCGAAAGCGUGGGUAGCAAACAGGAUUAGAUACCCUGGUAGUCCACGCCGUAAACGAUGAGUGCUAGUUGUUUGGGGCUAUCCAGCCCUAAGUGACGCAGCAAACGCAUUAAGCACUCCGCCUGGGGAGUACGACCGCAAGGUUGAAACUCAAAGGAAUUGACGGGGGCCCGCACAAGCGGUGGAGCAUGUGGUUUAAUUCGAAGCAACGCGAAGAACCUUACCAGGUCUUGACAUACUCGUGCUAUUCCUAGAGAUAGGAAGUUCCUUCGGGACACGGGAUACAGGUGGUGCAUGGUUGUCGUCAGCUCGUGUCGUGAGAUGUUGGGUUAAGUCCCGCAACGAGCGCAACCCUUAUUGUUAGUUGCCAUCAUUAAGUUGGGCACUCUAGCGAGACUGCCGGUAAUAAACCGGAGGAAGGUGGGGAUGACGUCAAAUCAUCAUGCCCCUUAUGACCUGGGCUACACACGUGCUACAAUGGUUGGUACAACGAGUCGCAAGACAGUGAUGUCAAGCUAAUCUCUUAAAGCCAACCUCAGUUCGGAUUGUAGGCUGCAACUCGCCUACAUGAAGUCGGAAUCGCUAGUAAUCGCGGAUCAGCACGCCGCGGUGAAUACGUUCCCGGGCCUUGUACACACCGCCCGUCACACCACGAGAGUUU
rnacentral:rRNA from 1 species